GAUGAACGCUGGCGGCGUGCUUAACACAUGCAAGUCGAACGAUGAACACCGGAGCUUGCUCUGGUGGGAUUAGUGGCGAACGGGUGAGUAACACGUGAGUAACCUGCCCCAGACUCUGGGAUAAGCGCUGGAAACGGCGUCUAAUACCGGAUACGAACCUCCACCGCAUGGUGAGGGGUUGGAAAGAAUUUCGGUCUGGGAUGGACUCGCGGCCUAUCAGCUAGUUGGUGAGGUAAUGGCUCACCAAGGCGACGACGGGUAGCCGGCCUGAGAGGGUGACCGGCCACACUGGGACUGAGACACGGCCCAGACUCCUACGGGAGGCAGCAGUGGGGAAUAUUGCACAAUGGGCGAAAGCCUGAUGCAGCAACGCCGCGUGAGGGACGACGGCCUUCGGGUUGUAAACCUCUUUUAGUAGGGAAGAAGCGAAAGUGACGGUACCUGCAGAAAAAGCACCGGCUAACUACGUGCCAGCCGCCGCCGUAACAC
rnacentral:rRNA from 1 species